CUCCCGGCCCUGCCCUCACGGGCGGAGCGCCCGCCGGAGGAUACCAAACUCUAUUUUAACGACGUUUCUUCUGAGUGGCACAAGCAAAUAAUUAAAACUUUCAACAACGGAUCUCUUGGUUCUGGCAUCGAUGAAGAACGCAGCGAAAUGCGAUAAGUAAUGUGAAUUGCAGAAUUCAGUGAAUCAUCGAAUCUUUGAACGCACAUUGCGCCCGCCAGCAUUCUGGCGGGCAUGCCUGUUCGAGCGUCAUUUCAACCCUCAAGCUCUGCUUGGUGUUGGGGCCCUACGGUUGACGUAGGCCCUUAAAGGUAGUGGCGGACCCUCUCGGAGCCUCCUUUGCGUAGUAACUAACGUCUCGCACUGGGAUUCGGAGGGACUCUUGCCGUAAAACCCCCAAAUUUUUAAAGGUUGACCUCGGAUCAGGUAGGAAUACCCGCUGAACUUAAGCAUAUCAAUAG
rnacentral:rRNA from 1 species